GUUCGCGUAACUCAGUGGUAGAGUGUGAGAUUGCAAUGCUUAAGCACCGAUGGUGCUGGGUUUAUCUCGAAGCCCCGUGUUCGAACCACGGCGCGAACU
rfam:Lentinula edodes NBRC 111202 DNA, contig: scaffold21.